rnacentral:tRNA from 1 species
ACAGUGGUAAGUCAGUAGUAGAAUUCUUGCCUUCUGAGCAGGAGACUCGGGUUCGGUUCCCAGCCAAUGCA